rnacentral:tRNA from 2 species
GCCGCCCUGGCUCAGCGUGGUAGAGCAACGGACUGUUAAUCCGUGGGUCGACAGUUCAAGUCUGUCGGGCGGCGCCA